rnacentral:rRNA from 2 species
UUGACCUCGAAUCAGGUAGGAAUACCCGCUGAACUUAAGCAUAUCAAUAAGCGGAGGAAAAGAAACCAACAGGGAUUGCCCCAGUAACGGCGAGUGAAGCGGCAACAGCUCAAAUUUGAAAUCUGGCCCCCCGGGGCCCGAGUUGUAAUUUGCAGAGGAUGCUUUUGGCGAGGCGCCUUCCGAGUUCCCUGGAACGGGACGCCAUAGAGGGUGAGAGCCCCGUCUGGUCGGACGCCGAGCCUCUGUAAAGCUCCUUCGACGAGUCGAGUAGUUUGGGAAUGCUGCUCUAAAUGGGAGGUAUAUGUCUUCUAAAGCUAAAUACCGGCCAGAGACCGAUAGCGCACAAGUAGAGUGAUCGAAAGAUGAAAAGCACUUUGAAAAGAGGGUUAAAUAGUACGUGAAAUUGUUGAAAGGGAAGCGCUUGUGACCAGACUUGGGCCCGGCGGAUCACCCAGCGUUCUCGCUGGUGCACUCCGGCGGGCCCAGGCCAGCAUCAGCUCGUCCCGGGGGACAAAGGCGGGGGGAACGUGGCUCCUCCGGGAGUGUUAUAGCCCACCGCGCAAUGCCCUGGGGCGGGCUGAGGACCGCGCAUCUGCAUGGAUGCUGGCGUAAUGGUCAUCAGCGACCCGUCUUGAAACACGGACCAA